rnacentral:rRNA from 1 species
GCAGGGGAUCGCAAGACCUUGCGCUGAUUGAGCGGCCGAUAUCAGAUUAGCUAGUUGGUGAGGUAAAAGCUCACCAAGGCGACGAUCUGUAGCGGGUCUGAGAGGAUGAUCCGCCACACUGGAACCGAGACACGGUCCAGACUCCUACGGGAGGCAGCAGUGGGGAAUUUUGGACAAUGGGGGCAACCCUGAUCCAGCCAUGCCGCGUGAGUGAAGAAGGCCUUCGGGUUGUAAAGCUCUUUCAGCCGGGAAGAAAACGCAUGGGUUAAUACCCUGUGUGGAUGACGGUACCGGAAUAAGAAGCACCGGCUAACUACGUGCCAGCAGCCGCGGUAAUACGUAGGGUGCGAGCGUUAAUCGGAAUUACUGGGCGUAAAGCGUGCGCAGGCGGUUUGGUAAGACAGGCGUGAAAUCCCCGGGCUUAACCUGGGAACUGCGUUUGUGACUGCCAGGCUAGAGUACGGCAGAGGGGGGUGGAAUUCCACGUGUAGCAGUGAAAUGCGUAGAGAUGUGGAGGAACACCAAUGGCGAAGGCAGCCCCCUGGGUCGAUACUGACGCUCAUGCACGAAAGCGUGGGUAGCAAACAGGAUUAGAUACCCUGGUAGUCCACGCCCUAAACGAUGUCAACUAGGUGUUGGGAGGGUAAAACCUUUUAGUACCGUAGCUAACGCGAGAAGUUGACCGCCUGGGGAGUACGGCCGCAAGGUUAAAACUCAAAGGAAUUGACGGGGACCCGCACAAGCGGUGGAUGAUGUGGAUUAAUUCGAUGCAACGCGAAAAACCUUACCUACCCUUGACAUGUCAGGAACUUGCCAGAGAUGGCUUGGUGCCCGAAAGGGAACCUGAACACAGGUGCUGCAUGGCUGUCGUCAGCUCGUGUCGUGAGAUGUUGGGUUAAGUCCCGCAACGAGCGCAACCCUUGUCGUUAAUUGCCAUCAUUCAGUUGGGCACUUUAACGAGACUGCCGGUGACAAACCGGAGGAAGGUGGGGAUGACGUCAAGUCCUCAUGGCCCUUAUGGGUAGGGCUUCACACGUCAUACAAUGGUCGGUACAGAGGGUUGCCAAGCCGCGAGGUGGAGCCAAUCCCAGAAAGCCGAUCGUAGUCCGGAUUGCAGGCUGCAACUCGCCUGCAUGAAGUCGGAGUCGCUAGUAAUCGCGGAUCAGCAUGUCGCGGUGAAUACGUUCCCGGGUCUUGUACACACCGCCCGUCACACCAUGGGAGCGGGUUCCGCCAGAAGUAGGUAGCCUAACCGCAAGGAGGGCGCUUACCACGGCGGGGUUCGUGAC